UACGUAGGGCGCAAGCGUUGUCCGGAAUUACUGGGCGUAAAGAGUUCGUAGGCGGUUUGUCGCGUCGUUCGUGAAAACUUGGGGCUUAACUCCAAGCGUGCGGGCGAUACGGGCAGACUUGAGUACUACAGGGGAGACUGGAAUUCCUGGUGUAGCGGUGAAAUGCGCAGAUAUCAGGAGGAACACCGGUGGCGAAGGCGGGUCUCUGGGUAGUAACUGACGCUGAGGAACGAAAGCGUGGGUAGCGAACAGG
rnacentral:rRNA from 1 species